CUUUGCAAGUCCGCAAAGUCAACUAUCCCAGCAGACGAGCAGAAAAUCGCCCUCAACUCCCAUCUGGUACCCUUGUCUCCUCUCAGAUGGGACCGUCCCACUGUCUCGGAAAGAGCCCAGCUGGGUGAGGGGAGAGGCCAACAGGGCUUGGUAACAGAGAGAGAGCUGAAACAACCCCUUCACCAAUUAACCAGGCAGCAGAAAGGGCAGAAUGAGUCACUCCCUUUACUCGCAAGAACUGGUGUCCUACCUGUGUCACAUGCUGAGAGCUCACCACCUCCAAUCUAGGUCACCAGAAACAAAAGAAACAAUGAUAAAUUACAUAAACUUAAAUUUUCAUCUUUUCUUCCCAGAUCACAUUUUGGCAGGAUUAUUCAGUUAAAGGGCCAACCACAGGAUCAGAUGUUAACAAAGAGAAAUUCGAUGUUAUGAGCCUUCUGACUGGGUUGACUGUCGCUGGCGUGUUCCUAGUUGUUUUCGGCUUACUUGGCUACUAUCUAUGUAUCACCAAGUGUAACAGGCGGCCAUAUCCGAGUUCUUCAGCCAUCUACACAAGAACAGCCAGACACACGCCCUCCAUCAUUUUCAGAAGCCCUGAGGAAACUGUCUUGUCUCUGUCGCCAUCUUCAGAGGAUGCAGGGCUACCUUCCUAUGAACAGGCAGUGGCACUGACCAGAAAGCACAGCAUCUCGCCACCACCUCCCUAUCCUGGGCCUGCAAAAGGAUUUAGGGUAUUUAAAAAGUCUAUGUCACUCCCAUCUCACUAAUCCUACCUGGCUGCCUCGCUGGAAGACAUUCGUUCAUAUGGUUGAAUAAUUUAUUCUCCCUGAAGUAAAAAAGGUCUGCUUGUUCAGCUUUUUAUGACGCACGGAAAGGAAUUAAGGAAUGAUACACAGAGCAGAAUUCACCACAGCUCUGCUUUCGUCUCGGACCUGAACUGGAUUGCUGGCAUCUUGGUAAGAAACUUCAUCUCCAUUACCUUGAAGUUAAGAAGAAAGUGCCUUUUGCAGCAUAUACUACUGUACUGGUUCAAAACCCUUUGCUGUAGUUGGAUAAUGUGGUAUGAGCCUACAAACACUCAGGAGGCUUAGAGAGAUGAGAGCUCACCCUGUCUCAAAACACAGUUUGCUAUUGGUAGAAUAAUUAGAAUUAGCCAAAAGGAACUGUCAGUCUUAGAUCAUGAGAUUGGUCUUCUCUUCCUUAGGAUUUCUUUUUUGACUGAAAAUAAUCAUACAAUUUGAUGCUUGCUGUAAAUCUGUUCUAAUUAGUGCAGAGCAUUCAUCAAAUUUGCAGGUCUUAUUUUUCACUAUCAAUCACAGUUCCAUGGAGUCAAGAGGUUUCGUUUGUUUUUGUUUUUUUUAAAAAAAAUAGUAUUCAUGGGCUAAGAAGAUGCCUCACUUGGAAAGUGCUUGUCAUGCAAAUAUGAGGACCUGAGUUCAAUCCUCAAUACUCGUUCAUGUUUGAAGCAAACAAACAACAACAACAAACAAAAGAAGCAAACAAACAAACAAAUUGGAGUCCUUGGGUGCACACCUGAAAUCUCGGCACUGUAGGAGGGGACUCAGGAGAACCUCUGGGGCUGGUGGCUAGCCACACGAGCUGAAUCAGGAACCUCCAAGUUCAGUGAAAGACUCUGUCUCAAAAAUUAGGUAGAGCUAGUAAGGUAGGUGAAUGCCUUUAAUCCCAGCUCAAGAGGCAGAGAUCUCUGUGAGUGAGUUCAAGGCCAGUCUUCUACAUUGUGAGUUCCAGGACAACUACAAAGUCUGCCUCAAAAAAAAAAAAAAAAAA
rnacentral:lncRNA from 1 species